rnacentral:misc_RNA from 1 species
GAUGAAGAACGCAGCGAAAUGCGAUAAGUAAUGUGAAUUGCAGAAUUCAGUGAAUCAUCGAAUCUUUGAACGCAUCUUGCGCUCCUUGGUAUUCUGAGGAGCAUGCCUGUUUGAGUGUCAUUAAAUUCUCAACUACACUGACUUUGAAUUGGUGUGGCUUGGAUUUGGGGGGAAAAUUGUUGUGGGCUUUUUGUAUAGUCUGCUCCCCUGAAAUUGAUUAGCGGUACCUUUGUGGAACUGUCUACAGGUGUGAUAAUUAUCUACAUCUUAGACAUCUGCUGGAAUGCUGCUUUCUAAACCUUACUUGUAUUGACAAUCUUGACCUCAAAUCAGGUAGGACUACCCGCUAAACUUAAGCAUAUCAAUAAGCGGAGGA